rnacentral:rRNA from 1 species
GACGAGGGGUCCAAGCGUUGUUCGGAAUCAUUGGGCGUAAAGCGGGUGUAGGCGGCUCUAUAAGUCAGGAGUGAAAUCCCCGGGCUUAACCUGGGAACUGCGUUUCUAACUGGCAGGCUAGAGUGUGGCAGAGGGGGGUGGAAUUCCACGUGUAGCAGUGAAAUGCGUAGAGAUGUGGAGGAACACCGAUGGCGAAGGCAGCCCCCUGGGCUAACACUGACGCUCAUGCACGAAAGCGUGGGGAGCAAACAGG